rnacentral:misc_RNA from 1 species
GCUGGAAAGUACUGGUGAAAUGGACCUAUGGGGAAUAUUGGAACAGGAAAGUCCUUGCCCAACGUGGUCAGCUCAUCUUGGUCAAGUUCUUCAAAUGAGUUCCAUAUUAUCCCUGAAGAGGCCUUUGCUUGCUUAACCAUCCUGUUUAUUAAUUCAUGAAGACCCUCUGGUUUGCUCGUUUUGAUCUCAGGAAUAUCUUUCACUUUUAAUGGUUGAAGCACUUGCACUGGUUCCUCUAAUCGACAAGCUAGGACAGGAGAAAAUGCCAUGAAUAUACAUACUUUCUACUUUAAUUUAGAAAAUUUUCCAAUAAAAGCAUUAAUCAGAAACUAAUUUGAUUCAACUUGAAUUGGGAGAUCGCCAUUAUCCAGCAGGAGUGGGAAGGCAGCAAAUCCAGGAAAAGAGCAGACACUAGUGGUCCGCAGAACAAUUGUUGGGAGCUCAAGGCCUUCAGCUACAGGUUUAGCGAAGCAGCAGACAACAUCUGGGAUUAAACAAGCAAUUGGCUCCUCCAAAACAUCUAAGAACAACUUAGCCAAGCAAUUCCUGAAAGGCUCAACACAUUUCACAUUGAGGUUUGAAAUAAGUAG